UCACUGGCUGGCCUCAAACUCCUUAUGUAGCAAAGGGAUGAAUCUGAGGUUCUGAUCCUCCUGACUCUACCUUUAGAAGGCUGGGAUUAAAGGUGUAUGCUGCUACGUAUGUGGGUCUGGGAUCCAACGUAAGGCUUCGUGUGUGCUAGGCGAGCACUUUACCAGCUGAGCUGCACCCAUAGCAAAGACAGAACUCGUGGUGUUAUCGUGACCUGUUCCUUCUUCCCCCUCAUCCCCAAAUCUGAUCUGACAGUAGAUCCUGGCCAUCCCACCUUUGGAAGGAUGCCUGCCCACCCUGCCUCCUGCUGCUUCACCUGUUGUGGUGCAGGGCUUUGGUUGCUGCGCCUCCUCCAGAGGAAGCCCUGCUCCCAUGCUUUGUUGACCAGCAUUCGCUCAGAUGAACUGGUCUUCCUGUUUCAACGAACCUGACUAGAACCUCCGCACCAGCAUGACCCAUGGUCUCGAACUGCAGUCCUGCCUCGGCCUCCAAGUAGCUGGGACUGCAUGUCUGUGCUACUAAGUCCCAUUUGGAUUGGAGGAAGAUGCUCAGGGAGGGGGCCAUCAGGGCAAGGCUUAAGCCGAGUCUUGAAAGCGAAGAGAAUCAUGGCUGCCUUCCUCAUAAGAACAGGGACAAGGAUUAAUGAGCCAAGGUGAACAAAGUGCCCACACCAGGCCUUGGCACAGAAGAACCAUUACUCAUUACCACUGUUGAGCUGUGUGAGAAGACCAGUAUCCCCAGUUGUGUGCGCUCUGCGUCUGGGUCUUGUAGCGUGACAGUUUGCUUGGCUACUCUAGUGGACGGCGCCUCUUUUAGCAUGGAUGUCCUCAUGGGGAUGCCCAGCCUCCUGACUGUGAUAGCACCUACCCCAAGGCAUUUCCCUUCACCUCUGCCUUCUCACCAGUACUGCCCCCUCCACUAGAAUAUCCUCCUUCCUUUAAAGUUCACCCCAGUGCCCAUAUCCCAGAGAGCCAGCCUGGCUCUCCCGGCUGGCCGAGAAUGCUGCCCUCUCCCGCUGCCAGCAUCUCGAUCUCAGGCAGCUUUAGGCACUGGCCACUGUCCAACCCUCAUUAAUUACACGUUCUGCCCCAAGACUGUGCAUCUUGGGGAUGUUAGCCCCAGAAAAUGACUCAAAGUUGCCUGACAUGGUAAGGUGACAGCAACCCAGUACAGUCUUUUUCCAAGUGCUGUCCGUGGGCCACCUGCACAGAGCUCUGGGGAUGCUGUUAAAGACGGGGCGUGUCGCUUUCACAUCUGGCUCUGCCGCCUUCCAGCGGUGUGAUUUUUCCCCAACACCCAGCAGAGCUUCAAUCCGUCAUCUGUAAACCGGAGAUGAUAAUCCCUAGCGCCCCUCCGUGCCCAUGGUGGGCCGGGGCUAGUGAGCUAAGUGUAGAAAGGCUUUGUCCUGUGCAGAAGGGUAUGGCCGUGAAUGCUCUUCCUGCCUCGUCACCUUCCUCUAGGAAGGAACACGGAGGGCCGGGUCCCCUCCCGGCAGAACUGAGUGGGCACCUGCUGACUUCACUGGUUGACUCAUUUGUAAGAAAUGGGGGCAGAGGAAGUUCAAUAAAAAUGGCUUUAAGGUGUG